UGACACCAUAUUUUCAAUGCAAACACGAUAGUUGCCAAUUACAGAUCGUGUGUCGAAUAGUUCUUUUCGUGCAGUUUUAAAUGUCUUGAGGUAUGAGAUAUGACUUUGCUUUCCUACAUCAAAACACAGCCCAAACCAUUCAAAGAUGUAUCACUAUAAAUAAUAAAUUCAUUACCCAAUUCUAGUUAAACUAACACUGGAGCUUCAGUCAACAGAGC
rnacentral:lncRNA from 1 species